GUCUACGGCCAUGCUACCCUGAAUAUGCCUGAUCCCGUCUGAUCUCGGAAGCUAAGCAGGGCCGGGCCUGGCUAGUACUUGAAUGGGCGACCACCUAGGAAGACCAGGUGCUGCAGGUG
rnacentral:rRNA from 1 species